rnacentral:lncRNA from 10 species
UCGAGAGGUUGAGGCAGGAGAACCACUUGAACCCGGGAGGUGGAGGUUGCAGUGAGCCAGGAUUGCACCACCGCACUCCAGUCUGGGCGACAGAGUGAGAAUCUGUCCCCCCACCCAAAAAAAAAAAAAAAAAAAAAAAAAAAAAACAGAAACAUUUGCCCCUAUGCCCAAAGUGAACAUAAUUCUCUUUCACUCCUAAUUCCAACUAUUAACUUAGAACUGGAGAAAUGUAAUAUGUCAUUAUUCCACAAAGUGUUUUAUUACUUUUAUUUUAGAUUCAAGGGGUACACAUACAUAUUUGUAACAUAGGUAUACUGCAUGAUUUUGAGGUUUGGGUAUUUAAUAAUCUCGUUGCCCAAGUAGAGUACAUCAUACCUGAUAAGUAGUUUUUUCAAAGCUUAUCUCCUUUUUUUUUCUUUUUUAGAAUUCCCAGUGUUUAUUGUUUUUAUUUUUGUUUCCAGGUUCACCCAAGGUUUAGCACCCACUUAUAAAUAAGAACAUGUGGUAUUUGAGAUACUUAUACACAUGCAAUACUAUGGAGCCAUAGAAAAGAAAAAGUAAUGUUCUUUGCAGCAACGUGGCUACAGCAGGCCUUUAAUCUAAGCAAAUGAACGUGAAACAUCAAUCUAAGAUUCAUAUGUACCUGGUUUAAAUCCAUGCCUUUGCUAUUGCGAAUACUGCUGCAGUAAACAUCUGAGUGCAGGUGUCUUUUUGGUAAAAUAAUUUAUUUUUCUUUAAGCAUAUACCCAGUAACAAGGUUGAUGGGUCAAAUGGCAAUUGUAUCUUUAGUUCUUUGAGAAAUCUCCAAACUGUGUUCCACAGGGGCUGAAUUAAUUUGCAUUGCCACCAACAGUGUGUAAAGAUUCCCUUUUCUCCACAACUACGACGUGUUAUUUUUUGACUUUUUAAUAACAGCCACUUUAACUGUUGUGAGAUGGUAUCAUAUUGUCAUUUUGAUUGACAUCUCUCUGAUAAUUUGAGAUGUUGAGCAAUUUUCUUGCAUGUUUAUUGCCAGUUUUUAUGUCUUCCUUUGAGAAGUAUCUAUUCAUAUCAUUUGUCUGCUUUUUUCCUAUUAAAUUUCUUAUAGAUUCUAUAUAUUAAUUUUUAUUGUACACAGUUUGCAAAUAUUUUAUUCCAUACUGUAGGUUGUCCAUUUACUUUGUCAAUAGUUUAUUUUCCUGUACAGAAGCUCUAGAUUAGAUGUCAAUUUUCAAUUUUUUUUUUUUUUAAGACAAAGGACUCACCCUGUCGCCCAGGAAGGAGGGCAAUGGCAUGAUAUCAGCUCACUGCAACCUCCGCCUCCUGGAUUCAAGCAAUUCUGCCUCAGCCUCCCGAGUAGCUGGGAUUACAGGUGUGCACCACCACACCCAGCUGGUUUUUUGUAUCUUUAGUAGAGACAGGGUUUCACUGUGUUGGCCAGGCUGGUCUCAAACUCCUGACCUCAUGAUCUGCCCACCUAAGCCUCUCAAAGUGCUGGCAUUACAGGCAUGAACCACUGCACCCAGCCUGUUGCAUUUAUUUUUAAGGUGUUAAAUUCCUUCCAGAGGCCAGUGUCUAGAAGAGUACUUUCUAGGUGUUCAUCUAGGAUUUUUAUAGCUUGAAGCUUCACAACUAAGUCUUUAAACUAUCUUAUGUUUUUUAUAUGGUGAGAGGUACAGGUUCAGUUUUUUUCUUCUGCAUAUGACUCACCAGGUUUCCGAGUACCAUUUAUUAGAUAGGGAGUUACUUUCCCUUUGUUUAUUUCUAUUGACUUUGCCAAAAAUAAGUUGUUUGUAGAAGUGUAGCUUUAUUUCAGGGCUCUCUCUUCUGUUCCAUUGGUCUAUAUGUAUUUUUUUGUUUUUUUGUUUUUAUUUUAUUUUAUUUUUUUAUUGAUCAUUCUUGGGUGUUUC